AUGCUGGGAUUGGAGGAAGCCCCUCCGGCGCAUGCCCGCAUGGCCGAGAAAACCUGCGACCCAUCCGGCAUGACCUUUGCUACCGGUGGUGCAGGCGUGUUGGACGGUACAUCACACGAGGUCCCCGCCCUCGCCAAGCAGGUUAACACUUUCCGGAAGAUGGUCAAGGACGGGACCAUCACGGAGAAUCAACUGAGUCGCUCUGUAGCGCUCGUGGCCUUCUCCGGUAAUGACUAUGCAAGCACCGGCGUCAUCGGCCUAAGUAGCCCCAACGAUAUUAAUGCUUAUAUUGGAAAGGUGACAAAAGAGAUUGCAGCUAAUGUGGAUCAAUUGUUGAAGCUUGGGGUGACAAAGGUUCUUGUCAAUAACUUGCAACCUAUCGGUUGCACGCCAUCACACACCCGAACCAACAACUACACCACACGUGAUAUUUUUGGAAACCUGGGUGCAUCCAUCCACAAUGAUAAUCUGAAACAAGUUAUGACAUCAAAGAAGAAUGUCUACAUCAUCGACGUGUACACAGCCUUUGUUAAUAUUGUGGAUCAUAUGGCAGGUAAAGGCUCAGAGUUGUCCAAACAAUUCAAGCGCAAACUAUCGCCGUGCUGCAAGAGUUUGAACUCGAAGGGUUACUGCGGACAGCAAGAUGAGUCAUCCGCGGAGUUUCUGUACACUGUGUGCGACAAGCCCAACAAAUUUUUCUAUUGGGACGACAUGCACCCAACACACGCAGGAUGGGAAGCUAUCAUGAAACAACUGGAAAAACCCUUGAAGGUGUUUGUAAAUCAAGACUAG
rnacentral:rRNA from 1 species